ACCAGUAGUCAACAAAACCCAAUAUCUUUGAAGAGAUUCUCUUUUAAAGUACCUUACCAAAGCUUUGCCUGACAUUAGAAAAAUGCAAGAAUUGGUCAGAAAAUUAUAAUUAUAGUAAGCAUCAAAAACAAGAACAAUUAACUAUACAACAAAUUUACCAUGAAAAUACCAAACAUUGGCUAGAGAUUUUAUAGUCAGUCGCAACAAGAUAAAACAACAAUUUCUAAUGACUAUUUAAACCGAAAGAAACUAUGGUAAAGAGAAUUAGAGAAAAACAUGUAGCAAAAACAUAAAAUUAGCAACAUAAUGCAGAAUUUAACGACAUACAACUUUGUUGUCUCAGUUGCAAACUAAAAAUUUGACAGUCAAAAUUUUCAUUCAACUUUUUGUUUUUGCUUGAUGGAUACAAAAUAAUCUAGUAAGAGCUUCAAGGGUAAUAAUUUAUCAUGAAAUCAUUCAAUAACACUAUGAGUGGAAACAAAUAAGAUAACCUAUGAUACAAAUCACUAUGGUAGCGGUUAGUAAAACUUUCAUGGAUCAGUGACUAAACACUAAUCCAUUAUGUUAAACUUGAAAACAACAAGGCAUAUAAACUCUUAUUCCCAUGACAAGACCUGUAAAUUAUAGAAAAUAUUUAAGAAAAAGAAACUGAAAUUUAGAAGAAAAAUAAUAUAGAAGCAUUUUGAAUGAAAAUAAUAAACUAGAAUAAAUUUAUCAGAUUGUACGACAUGCGUGAUGCAUCCAUAUGAAACGAAAGUACAUGGAUACACCUUAUAAACCUAUCAUUAGCAAGCUAUUUGGAUCAGCCCAGUGCAUUAAAACUGUUAAUUUAGUAUGCAUAAUCUCCGAUUUGUUAUAUACCAAAGAGUCUCAAUAAUUUUAAGUAGGUUUCAUUGUAACUGAUUUAAAAAAAACUACAGCCCACCAUAAAGAAUCACCUGCUGAGUGAUUCACCAAAAAUGGUCCAUUAUCAGAAGCCUUUUGCAUAUCAUCUUUGAGCAACAUCUGAAGCAACUCAUUAUUUCUUACUUGUAAUGAAGACUGGAGAAUGAAUUAAAAAAUGCUAAUAGCUAGCAAUUUUAGAGUGAGAUUUUAUCCCUAAAUAGUUACAAUUGCAACACAUGACUGUACACAGAAGAUGCUAUACAAAUAAGCUUUAGGUUUCUUGGUUGCUUUUGUCGAUCAAGGAUAAAUAAGGAAAGAAAUUAAACCUAAAGAAAGGACUAAAACAGACAAACAAGAGGUAAAUGAGUGUAUUCAAUUCAGAUUUAAACCAUACUAUCACAAAUUCAAGGUUCGAGCUAUCUUUUCCUUUUUAAUCCGCUAGCUUUGAAACAACAUCAACAAAAGUUGGAAGUUUGCUCUUUACUAAGAAAAUAUUGUAUAUUGAAACUGAAUUACACUUGGCAUUUAAGAGAAACUAAAAAGUAUUUUUUUAUCACAAAUAUCAAAACAGCCCAGCUCAUCAACAACAUUUCAUAGUAUCAAUGAUCAAUCAAGCACAUAAUCCAAUUGAUACACUUUUCAACAACUCCAGAUAGGACUCUUUUUACGGAAUGAAGGGAGAACAUGCACUGUACCUUCAAUACGGUAAUAAAUGGGUGUAUUUUAUCCAAGCAGAUAUGGGGAGAAAGUUGAGGAGGUGGCAGCAUUGGUUGAUUGGAAAUGUCCAAAAUGCAGAGGGAUUUGUAAUUGCAGUUAUUGCAGGUAAGUGUUUAUUUGUUUUAAAUCAGAGAAUACCCAUUUCAAGAAUUUCUUAAUUUAGUGAUUUUAGAUGUUUUUUGAGUAUAUUAUUGGGUAAUGUAGGAAGAAGAAAGGCAGUCAGCCUACUGGGAUCCUUGUGCAUGCUGCAAAGGCAAGUGGGUUUUCAUCUGUAGACCCACCUAACUAGUUAUUAAAGGGUUCACUAAAUGAGCAAUUUUGACUCAAUAAUAUGCAUCCAGUGCAACAAUUCUAAAAUCAAAAUGUGUGCAACUAACCCUGAUCCAAGUAACCUUGUAAUCUGACUCACAGGCAAUAAAGCUACAACCUCCAUUCUCAGUUUAUCGAACAACGAUUAAGAUGCUUCAUGUGAUGUUUUCAAUGGAUACUCAGUAUACUAUUAAAAAACAUUAAUUUUAUAAGAAUAAGUUAGAUAUUCUGCAAACAAAUUAUAGCAAAGAGGAGGAUGAGGGGAAAAGAAAGAAAAGAGGGUUAGUGUUGGAAAUUUAUGGAAGAUGAUAAAUUAUAGAAGAAGUGAAAUAUUACUUUAGAGAACAUAAGAAUACUUUCAUUUCACUUUAUUAAAAUGAUACAAGUACAAGACUAUUUAUAGAACUUAUAUGAUACUUCUAGAACCACAUUAAUAAUUAAUUACUACGUACAUGACCACAUUCAUGUACAUUAAUCUAACCAUUACAUGUUUCAAGACAUUUCAAAUACAUGUAUCAUGUACUUAGACAUUAUCCAUUCAUGUACUAAUAUUAAUUCAUGAAUAAUCUAGAAUUAAUUUGGUUUAGUUGCUAACAAGGCCUCCCGUAAACCAAAUUUAUUCUUCAUAAUGUCGUAAAAUAUUUUGAUCUUCUGAUUCCUUCAAACGCAAGAAACUCUUUUGUCAUCUCCAUUGAUGUAUAUGACAUAAAUGCUUGAAGUUUCCAUUUGUUCUUCUUAAUCUUGCUUAUAACUAGCUUCUCACAUUUUACAUGCUUGUAUUUCUUCUCCAUUUCAUUAUUUCUGAACUCAUUUUGAUCAAAAUACUUCUCCAUAUUAACCCAUUCAAAAUCUUCCACAACUUGAGUUUCUUUUUUCUUGGUCUUUGCAUUUUCGACCUUGGUUUGCACUCUGCUUCCAACUUGGACUUUGUAUAUGAUGUUUUUUUAGCAGUUUUUGUGACUUGAACCUUUUUGACAACCUUCUUCCUCGUAAAAGUUCUGACAGCAGCAGGAUUAGAUGAUGUGACGUCCAAUUGACUAGUAACUUCUGAGUGUGCACUCUUUUCUUCAACAUCCUUAUCCUCCAGCUCAUUAUUCAAAUUUAUCUCAUUCUCUUCUUUCAUCGCUUCACUCUCAGGUUCUUCUUUCUCAAAAGAUGCUUUAAUUAUUGUGUCUUCAAAUUCUUUAUUUUCGACAUGAUCUAUUUCUUUUGCUUCCCGACAUAUGUCUUCAAAGUCUUUAUUUUUCUUUUCUUCUUCUUCAACUUCAUCAAUUUCUUCUACAAGUUUCUCAUCCUCUUCCAAAAACCAAGACUCUUUAGGUAACGAUGAACCUUUAUAAUUCUUGCAAAUCAAUUCAAGCUCAUUCCAUAACUGAGAUAGAGAAUCAAAACUCGCAACACGCAUCCAGACUUCUUCAUGCAUUACUCCUUGCAAAAUCUUCCUUGUUCUUUUUUCUUUUAUUUCUCGAACUUCAUCUGAAAUACACUUUUCUAGAUUUGAAAUGAUAUCUUGCCAUAAAUUGCAUUCUCCAAGAAAUACUCGAAUCCUUAUACUCCAAACAUUGUAAUUUGUAAACACUAAUUUGGCACCAAACCUAGGAAACAUAAUUUUUUUUAUAAUUUACCUCACCAAAAAUGCUAUCAAUAUGAUAAUCUUUGUGACGUGCUUGAAUUCACAAACUUCUUUAAAAAUUUUCUCAACUAGCACAUUUGCUAGAUUGCAAUUCGGAGCUAUAACCCGCACACUUUGUACUCGCCCAACGAAACACUUUGAUAGCACUAAGUCACCUUUCUUGGGUCGUCGAUUUUACCUUAGCCACUUUAGUUUAACCUUCGAAUUAACCUUAGCUUUGAUACCACUUGUUGGAAAUUUAUGGAAGAUGAUAAAUUAUAGAAGAAGUGAAAUAUUACUUUGGAGAACAUAAGAAUACUUUCAUUUCACUUUAUUAAAAUGAUCCAAGUAUAAGACUAUUUAUAGAACUUAUAUGAUACUUCUAGAACCACAUUAAUAAUUAAUUACUACGUACAUAUAUGACCACAUUCAUGUACAUUAAUUUAACCAUUACAUGUUUCAAGACAUUUCAAAUACAUGUAUCAUGUACUUAGACAUUAUCCAUUCAUAUACUAAUAUUAAUUCAUGAAUAAUCAAGAAUUAAUUUGGUUUAGUUGCUAACAGUUAGCAACCAAAUGCUGAUGGAUUUUCCAAAUGAAAUUGGAUGAAAGAAGAAAGUUAGGUAGUCUAACCUCGUCAUUCAUCUUCUGAGUCCUCAUCACCAUCAUCCUCAUUUUUAGUCUCUUCAUUUUCUUCUUCCUGCACUUCUUUCAAUCUCACAGAUGCCGUCAUUAGUUCAGAAAAGCAGUCCCCAAGCAGACCCCUAACUUGAUUUCCAACGUUCAGUAGGUGCUCAAUUAGCUUCGAUAAUGCUAUUACUGAAUAUCAUUUAAAAAUAUUAGUCAGUAUCCUUAUUCAAUUAAAUGGAGAACUUUUAAUGGAUGCACUCAUCUAUUUUUACAAGAUGAUAUCCGACAAAAAAGCAGAGCUAAAACAUAGUGAAGUAAAAACUGGUAGAAAACUUGACGCGAACACAUACUACAGUGAUAGAAAAGAAGAACUAUAAAAUGAAAAGAAAUAUAACACAGAUGGUGAUGAAAUUAGAUACCACACUUAUUGCAUUAAUUGGAAUAUUCUAAAAAUGUUUCUGAAGUAAAAAUUCUUGUACCUAAACAAUUACAACCCCUUAAAUAUUUUACAAAUGGAUUAAAUCCAUAAGAAGGAGAAAACAUCAAAGUCAUUGUUACCCAGCAGGCCGAGAACUGGAUUUGUUCGCGCAAUUAGAACUUAGAUUGAACCAAUUAAACAGAUAAUACCUAGUUAUAUUGAUUAACUUCAUCUUCCUGGUAUUUAUAAUGAACCUAAAUUAACAAAAAAUAAUGAACUUGACAAGCUAUUGGAGGAAUAGGAAGAGGGAAGCCUAUAUGAUAACAAGAAAUGUAGGUUUCUUUCGGGGUUUCUAAUGAAAGAGAAAAGAAUUGCCGAAGGCCUACAACACACACGAAGAAAGUAGCAGCCAAAAGAAAGCUAGCGGAUGAAUUUCACAAGGAGAAAAUUAUGUUUCUGAGCCGCCUCUGCGUCAAGGUAUUGAAUUAACUAACCUCGCAGACAUAAACAUGCUUGCAGAAG
rnacentral:lncRNA from 1 species